rnacentral:rRNA from 1 species
GACGAACGCUGGCGGCGUGCUUAACACAUGCAAGUCGAACGGAAAGGCCCUGCUUUUGUGGGGUGCUCGAGUGGCGAACGGGUGAGUAACACGUGAGUAACCUGCCCUUGACUUUGGGAUAACUUCAGGAAACUGGGGCUAAUACCGGAUAGGAGCUCCUGCUGCAUGGUGGGGGUUGGAAAGUUUCGGCGGUUGGGGAUGGACUCGCGGCUUAUCAGCUUGUUGGUGGGGUAGUGGCUUACCAAGGCUUCGACGGGUAGCCGGCCUGAGAGGGUGACCGGCGACAGUGGGACUGAGAGACGGCCCAGACUCCUACGGGAGGCAGCAGUGGGGAAUAUUGCACAAUGGGCGGAAGCCUGAUGCAGCAACGCCGCGUGCGGGAUGACGGCCUUCGGGUUGUAAACCGCUUUCGCCUGUGACGAAGCGUGAGUGACGGUAAUGGGUAAAGAAGCACCGGCUAACUACGUG